CUUUUUGGUUGCUAAUAUGUAAAAGUAAAAAAGGUUUUACAUUGCAUAUUGAUGUUAGAUCCUCCAACUUCGUUGAACAUCUUUUUAUAUUUAUUUGAUUCUUUAAAAUUUAGCACAUGAACAAAUAUCCCAUGAGUGAAUAGAGACAGGUCUUCCUUUUCAAUCUGCAUGUCUUUACUUUUCAUUGCACUGGCUAGUACAAUGAAUAGCCGUGUGACUGUGUCAUCUUUGCCUGUUCCCCAGUCCUAGGGAGUGAUAAUGAGCUGCAGAAUUUCUUUGAUUCCUAGUUUAUUCUUAGUUUUUUUUAUCAUGAAGGAGAGGAUUUUUAUUAUAUUAUAUGCUGUUACAUUUGGCUGUGAUUCUUUAUUAACAGGGCAUAUCACCGUAUCGAUUUUUGGAUAUUAAGCCAACCUUGUAUUCCUAGAGCCAACUAUAGUUGCUUGUGAAUCACCACCCUGAAUGAAAUACUCAUUAGCUGUCAUUUGCUAACCCAUCCUCUUGGUCCCAGAUGACUCUCAAUCUUCUUUCUGCCUCUAUGGACUUGCCCAUGCUGGACAUUGCACUUGAGUGAAAUCAAGUGAUAUGUGGCCUCUUGGGACCAGCUUUCUUCCAGUUAAGAAACAUUUUAGAGAGAGAAGG